UUUCCGUAGGUGAACCUGCGGAAGGAUCAUUGU
rnacentral:rRNA from 1 species